AACGAACGCUGGCGGCAGGCUUAACACAUGCAAGUCGAACGCCCCGCAAGGGGAGUGGCAGACGGGUGAGUAACGCGUGGGAACAUACCCUUUCCUGCGGAAUAGCUCUGGGAAACUGGAAUUAAUACCGCAUACGCCCUACGGGGGAAAGAUUUAUAGGGGAAGGAUUGGCCCGCGUUGGAUUAGCUAGUUGGUGGGGUAAAGGCCUACCAAGGCGACGAUCCAUAGCUGGUCUGAGAGGAUGAUCAGCCACAUUGGGACUGAGACACGGCCCAAACUCCUACGGGAGGCAGCAGUGGGGAAUAUUGGACAAUGGGCGCAAGCCUGAUCCAGCCAUGCCGCGUGAGUGACGAAGGCCUUAGGGUUGUAAAGCUCUUUCACCGAUGAAGAUAAUGACGGUAGUCGGAGAAGAAGCCCCGGCUAACUUCGUGCCAGCAGCCGCGGUAACAC
rnacentral:rRNA from 1 species